UAUUAAAAAUUUUAUCCAUUUAUACUGUUAAAACUGGCGCACCAGACAAAAUAACUGACAGUUAUACGUGGUGUACCACGUAUACCGCAUGUUAGUGUACAAGAAUCAAAUUAACAGUAAAAAUGAAUAAAAUUUUUAACA
rnacentral:pre_miRNA from 1 species